UUAUUCCUGGAGUGUUCGCCAGUCCUCUAUUUUUGCCCACAUUUCCUAUUACGGAGCUUUCGUUAUGAGUUGGAUGUCAGGCCUCCGUGUCAAAACGCUUGGGGACGACAGAAGGUUUGUACAAGGCACCGGCCUGCUAUACAUAGCGGGUGAAAAAAUAGAGUACAGCGGCACUUUGGGGCAAUC
rnacentral:other from 1 species